rnacentral:tRNA from 1 species
GCCCGGAUAGCUCAGUCGGUAGAGCAGGGGAUUGAAAAUCCCCGUGUCUCUGGUUCGAUUCCGAGUCCGGGCACCA